UGAGUACGAGAUGCUACGGCAUCGAAGCAGUCUAUGUCAUACUUCCAAGAAAAGCUUGCACUGUCAGAAACAGAUAAUGCCUGUACCAUAACCGACACAGGUGGGUAGGUAGAGUAUACUAAGGGGCGCGAGAUAACUCUCUCUAAGGAACUCGGCAAAAUGACUCCGUAACUUCGGGAGAAGGAGUGCCUUAUUUUUAAGGUUGCAAUAACAAGAUCCAAGCAACUGUUUACCAAAAACACAGGUCUCCGCUAAGUCGUAAGACGAUGUAUGGGGGCUGACGCCUGCCCAGUGCCAGAAGGUUAAAGAAGUCGGUUAGCAUUCGCGAAGCUGGUAACUGAAGCCCUGGUGAACGGCGGCCGUAACAAUAACGGUCCUAAGGUAGCGAAAUUCCUUGUCGGGUAAGUUCCGACCCGCACGAAAGGCGUAAUGAUUUGGAUACUGUCUCGGAGAGGGGCUCGGUGAAAUAGACUUGUCUGUGAAGAUGCGGACUACCUGCACCUGGACAGAAAGACCCUAUGAAGCUUUACUGUAACUUGAGAUUGAAAUUGGACUUUAUUUGCGCAGUAUAGGUGGGAGGCGUUGAAAAUAUUCUUGCGGGAAUAUUGGAGCCAUCAGUGAGAUACCACUCUUGUAAUGUUAGAUUUCUAACUUUAUAUCAUUAUCUGGUUAAAGAACAGUUUCAGGCGGGCAGUUUGACUGGGGCGGUCGCCUCCCAAAUGGUAACGGAGGCGCACAAAGGUUUCCUCUGAACGGGUAGAAAUCGUAUCUAGAGUGUAAAGGCAUAAGGAAGCUUGACUGUGAGACCUACAAGUCGAGCAGGGACGAAAGUCGGUCUUAGUAAUCUGACGGUGCUGAGUGGAAAGGCCGUCACUCAACGGAUAAAAGUUACUCUAGGAUAACAGGCUGAUCUCCCCCAAGAGUUCACAUCGACGGGAAGGUUUGGCACCUCGAUGUCGGCUCAUCGCAUCCUGGGGCGGUAGUACGUCCCAAGGGUUGGGCUGUUCGCCCAUGAAAGCGGUACGCGAGUUGGGUUCAGAACGUCGUGAGACAGUUCGGUCCAUAUCCGGUGUAGGCGUUAGAAUAUUGAGAGGAGCCUUCUUUAGUACGAGAGGACCGAGAAGGACAUACCUCUGGUGUACCAGUUAUCGUGCCAACGGUAAACGCUGGGUAGCUAUGUAUGGAGUGGAUAACCGCUGAAAGCAUCUAAGUGGGAAGCCCACCUCAAGAUAAGUAUUCUC
rnacentral:rRNA from 1 species